rnacentral:lncRNA from 1 species
GUCUGCAGGGACCAGAGAACAAUUUCAGUUUUUAGAAGACAGUUUAUGUUUUCUUUUAUUUUUGAAAUUAUAAUUUAAUUGUAUCAUUUGCUCCUUUCUUUUUCUCCCUUCACACCCUCCUAUACUCUCCUUCUGUACUCUCCUGUAUAUGUCUCUGUGUAUAUAUACUUCUGCAUAUAUAUAUAUAUAUAUAUGUAUAUAUAUAUAUACACUUGUAUAUUUCUAAUCAUAACUUGCUUGGUCUGUAUAAUAUCGUUUGUAUAUUUGUUUUUGGAGCCAACCAUUUGGUAUUGGAUUACCAAUUGGUGUGUUCUUUCCUGGAGAAGACAAUUUCUUCUACUCUGAGCAUUUGUUAGUUUUUUGUGUCUGGUAGAGGCCUUUGGGCCCACCCCCACCCACAUUAGCAUAUCUAGUGUUACUGUCCUUUAAAGCUCCUAUUUAGUCAGUCAUAUUGAUGUGAUUUUGUCACUGUAGUGUCUGACAUGACUAGGCGACACAACCUUGCAUAAAACUCUCUGGUUAUCUAGUCCUUAGAAUCUUUCUGCCUCCUCUUUUGCAGUGUUCCCCAAGCCUUAAGUGUGGGAGUUGUUUUGUAGAUGUAUCCAUUGGGACUGGCCCCACAACUCUGUAUUUUUAUUGGCUAUGAUUUUCUGUAAUAAUCUCCGUCAGUUGCAGAGAGGAUAUCCUCUGCAUGAGUUGAGGACUACACUUUAUCGGUGGGUAGAAGGACAAAUAUUUACAAUGCAGUUGGGAAUAAUGCUAUUUUAAUAAAGUGAUGGUUGUAGAUUUUCCUCCAAGACCCAUGGCAUCACUAGCCCUAGGUAGCUGGCUAGGUCUCCAGUACUAGGCAUGGUUUCCCUCUUGUUGAGUGGGUCUUAGGUCCAGUUAGAGAGCUAUUGGUUACCUCAAAGGUAUGUGAGCCACUACAGCACCCUUAGAUGCUGGUUUUGUAGUACAUGGGUACCAGACCUGGGUAGGAUUUCUGGUUGCUUCCCUCCUUUGGAAGCUUGCAUGCCUUCUGAUACCCUGAAAGAAAGAUAGUUGAAUGACAAAAUUAAGAUCUUAGUUUAGCUAAAUGUUCAUCUUAUUUUAACUGCAAAAAAACCAGAAGGUUCUGAAAUAUAGUAGUAACUAGAAUGUUGUGGGAUUUCACCAUUACAAAUUUCACUAAAGUUAACUAAAUAUGUAAUUUCCAAAAAGAAUAAGAAACUAAGUUUGGCAUUAUUAAAUAUGUUUGCAGUCACAAGGAAAUGUUUAGGCCAAGUAAAUGAACUGUAGUAAUAAUAGUAGUAGUAGUAGUAGUAGUAAUAGUAAUAACUUAAAAUGACUUAAAAUGUGAAAGAAUAUUAAAAAUAGCCUUUAAACUUCACUUCAUUUUUAUCUUUGGGCUUAGUUUUGGUCAGGGAUAUUAUCCUGAGACAAGGCAGCCUGUCAGAGUUCUUGUACUUUGCAGUGACAACACUAGGAGAAAAACAAUUGGCAUUUUGUUCUCACUGUGGCAAGCCACGCCUUCUACUUUGGGUGAAGCUGGUGGCAGGUUGAGAGGUCAAGCCAGCCCUUGGGCUUUCCUUUCUCAGAGGGUUAUUGAAGUUAAUGCAGAUCUGUCUGGGAUUUUAAUGUUAUAAAAAUGCACAUCGUCAGUCACAUGCCCGCAGGUUGAUUUCCUCUAAGGCCACGUAGCCAGUAAUACAUCUGCCCAUCUAAAAAUGGGGACAUCAUAAAACAGGUCAUUAAAAUGUGUGAGGAGCCGAGUGGUUUGCUGCUGUUUUU